GAUGAACGCUAGCUACAGGCUUAACACAUGCAAGUCGAGGGGUAACGAGAGGAAAGCUUGCUUUCCUUGUCGACGACCGGCGCACGGGUGAGUAACGCGUAUCCAACCUGCCCCCAACUAGGGAAUAACCUCGCGAAAGUAAGACUAAUACCCUAUAAUUUCCUCAGAUGUCAUCUGACGAGGAAUAAAGAUUUAUCGGUUGUGGAUGGGAAUGCGUCUGAUUAGCUUGUUGGCGGGGUAACGGCCCACCAAGGCAACGAUCAGUAGGGGUUCUGAGAGGAAGGUCCCCCACAUUGGAACUGAGACACGGUCCAAACUCCUACGGGAGGCAGCAGUGAGGAAUAUUGGUCAAUGGGCGGAAGCCUGAACCAGCCAAGUAGCGUGCAGGAUGACGGCCCUAUGGGUUGUAAACUGCUUUUAUACAGGAAUAAAGUUAGCCACGUGUGGUUAUUUGUAGGUACUGUAUGAAUAAGGACCGGCUAAUUCCGUGCCAGCCGCCGCGGUAA
rnacentral:rRNA from 1 species